CAUUGCUGGAGACAGUGAAGUGAUCAUUUCCCAGAGCGAGAAACACACGGGACCAGUAAGAGCUCUCGACGUCAACUCGUUUCAGACAAACCUUGUGGCCUCUGGGGGAAAUGAGUCAGAAAUCUACAUUUGGGAUUUGAACAACUUGAGCUCCCCAAUGACGCCAGGACCCAAAACUCAGCCCCUAGAGGACAUCAGCUGUGUUGCGUGGAACAGACAGGUGCAGCACAUCCUGGCCUCGGCCAGUCCCAGCGGAAAAGCUUCGGUCUGGGAUCUGAGAAAGAACGACCUGAUCAUCAAAGUCAGCGAUCACAGC